rnacentral:rRNA from 1 species
AGUGAACGCUGGCGGUAGGCCUAACACAUGCAAGUCGAACGGCAGCACAGGAGAGCUUGCUCUCUGGGUGGCGAGUGGCGGACGGGUGAGGAAUACAUCGGAAUCUACCUUUUCGUGGGGGAUAACGUAGGGAAACUUACGCUAAUACCGCAUACGACCUACAGGUGAAAGUGGGGGACCGCAAGGCCUCACGCGAUUAG